GAUCCUGGCUCAGAUUGAACGCUGGCGGCAGGCCUAACACAUGCAAGUCGAGCGGAUGAGUGGAGCUUGCUCCAUGAUUCAGCGGCGGACGGGUGAGUAAUGCCUAGGAAUCUGCCUAUUAGUGGGGGACAACGUUUCGAAAGGAACGCUAAUACCGCAUACGUCCUACGGGAGAAAGCAGGGGACCUUCGGGCCUUGCGCUAAUAGAUGAGCCUAGGUCGGAUUAGCUAGUUGGUGAGGUAAUGGCUCACCAAGGCGACGAUCCGUAACUGGUCUGAGAGGAUGAUCAGUCACACUGGAACUGAGACACGGUCCAGACUCCUACGGGAGGCAGCAGUGGGGAAUAUUGGACAAUGGGCGAAAGCCUGAUCCAGCCAUGCCGCGUGUGUGAAGAAGGUCUUCGGAUUGUAAAGCACUUUAAGUUGGGAGGAAGGGCAUUAACCUAAUACGUUAGUGUUUUGACGUUACCGACAGAAUAAGCACCGGCUAA
rnacentral:rRNA from 2 species